rnacentral:rRNA from 1 species
UACAGAGGUGGCAAGCGUUGUUCGGAAUUACUGGGCGUAAAGGGCGCGUAGGCGGCCUUGUAAGUCUUGUGUGAAAUCCCUCGGCUCAACUGAGGAACUGCACGAGAUACUGUGAGGCUUGAGUUCGGGAGAGGGAAGCGGAAUUCCGGGUGUAGCGGUGAAAUGCGUAGAUAUCCGGAGGGACACCGGUGGCGAAGGCGGCUUCCUGGACCGACACUGACGCUGAGGCGCGAAAGCUAGGGGAGCAAACGGG